rnacentral:rRNA from 1 species
UGCGGGGGAUAAGCUCCGUAGUCGAAAGGGAAACAGCCCAGACCGCCAGCUAAGGUCCCCAAAUUACGCUCAGUGGGAAACGAGGUGUAAUUGCAUAGACAACCAGGAUGUUGGCUUAGAAGCAGCCAUUCAUUUAAAGAGUGCGUAACAGCUCACUGGUCGAGUGAUUAUGCGCGGAAAAUGUAACGGGGCUAAGCGUAAUACCGAAACUGCGGCUUGCUUUCUUCGGAAAGCAGGGGUAGGGGAGCGUUCCAUACCGGGUUGAAGCAUGACCGUAAGGACAUGUGGACUGUAUGGAAGUGAUCAUGCCGGCAUCAGUAACGACAAGAGAGGUGAGAAUCCUCUCCGCCGAAAGUCUAAGGUUUCCCGGGCCAGGUGAAUCCGCCCGGGGUUAGUCGGACCCUAAGCCGAGGCCGAAAGGCGUAGGCGAUGGAAAACAGGCACAAAGAUUCCUGUACCACCGCGUAACCGUUUGAAUGACGGAGUGACGCAGGAGGAUAAUGCAGCUGUCUAUCGGAUGGCAGUCUAAGCGUGCAGGCCGUAACCCAGGCAAAUCCGGGUUACACAAGGCUGAGGCGUUAAGGGACGUGAAUCCUUCGGGUGAAGCGGAUUGCAUGAUUCCACACUGCCAAGAAAAACUUCUAGUGAGGUUACCGGUGACCGUACCAAAACCAACACAGGUGGACGAGAAGAAUAUUCUAAGGCGCUCGGGCGAACCAUCCUUAAGGAACUCGACCAAAUUGCCCCGUAACUUCGGAAGAAGGGGUACUCUGGCCGGUGAUAGGACUUGCUCCUGGAGCCGGAAAGAGUGACACUAAAGUGGCUCAGGCGACUGUUUACUAAAAACACAGGUCUCUGCAAAGUCGUAAGACGACGUAUAGGGACUGACGCCUGCCCGAUGCCGGAAGGUUAACGGGAGGGGUUAGCAGCAAUGCGAAGCUCUGAACUGAAGCCCCGGUUAAUGGCGGCCGUAACUAUAACGGUCCUAAGGUAGCGAAAUUCCUUGUCGGGUAAGUUCCGACCUGCACGAAUGGCGUAACGAUCUGAGCAUUGUCUCAAGGAUGGGCCCGGUGAAGUUGUACUACGAGUGAAGAUGCUCGUUACCCGCAGAAGGACGGAAAGACCCCGUGCACCUUUACUACAGCUUGAUAUUGAGUUUAGUUGUGACUUGUAUAGGAUAGGUGGGAGACUUUGAAGCUGGAUCGUCAGAUUCGGUGGAGUCACCCUUGGAAUACCACCCUGGUUACAAUUGAAUCCUAACUCUGAUCCCGUGAAGCCGGGCAGAGGACAGUGUCUGGUGGGUAGUUUGACUGGGGCGGUCGCCUCCCAAAAAGUAACGGAGGCGCCCCAAGGUUCCCUCAGCAUGUUUGGAAAUCAUGCGCAGAGUGCAAAGGCAUAAGGGAGCUUGACUGUGAGACUGACAAGUCGAGCAGGUACGAAAGUAGGGCUUAGUGAUCCAGCGGUUCCGUAUGGAAGGGCCGUUGCUCAUCGGAUAAAAGGUACGCCGGGGAUAACAGGCUUAUAACCCCCAAGAGUUCACAUCGACGGGGUUGUUUGGCACCUCGAUGUCGGCUCGUCACAUCCUGGGGCUGAAGCAGGUCCCAAGGGUUCGGCUGUUCGCCGAUUAAAGUGGCACGCGAGCUGGGUUUAGAACGUCGUGAGACAGUUCGGUCCCUAUCCUUCGCGGGCGUAGGAGAUUUGAGGGAAGCUGCCCCUAGUACGAGAGGACCGGGGUGGACGGACCUAUGGUGAUCCGGUUGUCACGCCAGUGGCACCGCCGGGUAGCUAUGUCCGGACAGGAUAAGCGCUGAAAGCAUCUAAGCACGAAGCCCCACCCAAGAUAAGAUUUCCCCAGACCUUCGGGUCUCUAAAGAGUCCUGGAAGACUACCAGGUUGAUAGGCAGGAGGUGUAAGCAUGGCAACAUGUUCAGCUGACCUGUACUAAUCACUCGUGAGGC